rnacentral:rRNA from 1 species
UACGUAGGGGGCAAGCGUUAUCCGGAUUUACUGGGUGUAAAGGGAGCGUAGACGGUGAAGCAAGUCUGGAGUGAAAGGCCGGGGCUCAACCCCGGGACUGCUUUGGAAACUGUUUGACUGGAGUACAGGAGAGGUAAGUGGAAUUCCUAGUGUAGCGGUGAAAUGCGUAGAUAUUAGGAGGAACACCAGUGGCGAAGGCGGCUUACUGGACUGUAACUGACGUUGAGGCUCGAAAGCGUGGGGAGCAAACAGG